rnacentral:rRNA from 1 species
GACGAACGCUGGCGGCGUGCUUAACACAUGCAAGUCGAACGAAGUGGCGAACGGGUGAGUAACGCGUAAUCAACCUGCCCUUCAGAGGGGGACAACAGUUGGAAACGACUGCUAAUACCGCACCCUGAAGGAGGGGAUUGCGUCUGCCUAGCUAGUCGGCGGGGUAACGGCCCACCAAGGCGAUGAUCAGUAGCCGGUCUGAGAGGAUGGACGGCCACAUUGGGACUGAGACACGGCCCAGACUCCUACGGGAGGCAGCCAUGGGGAAACUUCCGCAAUGGACGAAAAUCUGACGGAGCAACGCCGCGUGAGUGAUGACGGCCUUCGGGUUGUAAAGCUCUGUUAAUCGGGACGCGGUACCGGAAUAGAAAGCCACGGCUAACUACGUGCCAGCAGCCGCGGUAAUUC